rnacentral:rRNA from 1 species
CGGUGCUUAACACCAAGGGGCCACACCCGUUCCCAUUCCGAACACGGUCGUUAAGCCCUUGGAACCGAUGGUAGUGCCCACCGGUGCGAGAGUAGGUUUGUGCCGGCUU